UACGUAGGGACCGAGCGUUGUCCGGAAUCAUUGGGCGUAAAGAGCGUGUAGGCGGCCACUUAAGUCCUGCGUGAAAUCUUGCGGCUCAACCGCAAGCGGUCGUGGGAAACUGGGUGGCUAGAGUGCGGGAGAGGAGAGUGGAACUGCGAGUGUAGAGGUGAAAUUCGUAGAUAUUCGCAAGAACACCAGUGGCGAAGGCGGCUCACUGGCCCGGUACUGACGCUGAGGUGCGAAAGCGUGGGGAGCAACAGG
rnacentral:rRNA from 1 species